AUAUUAGGUAAAAUCUAAUUUCAGUUUGGUUAUCACAUAGCGUUCAUUUCCCUAAGGGAGGAGAAAAAAUUAAAUUUGUAAGCUUAAGAUUCCAGCUGAAGUACUCAAGAAUCCUGUUUCUCUGACAGAGGAAACGAACAACAACUUGACUGGACACAUCCUAACCCAACCAUACGCUGUGUUACUUCCUCCACUGCGCCACACACAGCUAUUAUUCUAAGCUUUCUUAUUCAAACCCUUAAGGAUUUGUAAGAACUUGGAAAGAGAAAGUGACUUCAGACAGUUGCUGAGAACGCUAAGAAGAUGGGCAGAAAUCAAAGCUUCCUGGUGUGAGGUUGUGGUAGAAGAUUCCUGGUUGAUCAAUGUAUAGAAGAUGAAAUGGAUUCCAGUUGUGGGAAAGAAGAAGUAAUGCAGUCAAAAGUCCUGAAUUGUCUUGAAUUAUAUGUAGAAGCUAGCCAGAUAGUAAAAGUGGGGAGGGGAAAUUUCAGAGCAAAGGGACAGAUUGUCAAAAAUUAUAGUUUUGUGUUGUUUUAUUUUACUGUGGAACUAUAAGCUGUUUGAUUUGGUUGGAUCAUAUAGUAGAACAAUUAUGUAACAACCGUUCACUGGGACGUCCAAAAGGCAUCCUCUCAGACUUGUUUUAGAUCCUUUAUGAUUAGAGAAUAUAACUCUCCUAAGAUUCCUUGAGCUUUCAACAACUUUACUCUGCUACUUUUGUGAGGCAUGCAUUUUUAUCCUGGGUGUAAUUUUGGAUAAAAUAUUGCAUUUUUUUCUGUCUUAGACCAAGCGUAUAUAAAUAGGGAAAAUACAAUACUUUAUUCAUAGGCUUGUUGGAGCAUAUAUGAGAUUAUGUCUUAAAGUGUGCUCUGUAACCUGGAAAAGGCAAUACAAAAGUUACUUAUUAAACUGAUGAAAUUUCUGCCAUGUCUUCUAUUUUGUGCCGUAUAGAAAAUUUAAAUCUUUAAAACGUGAUAUUCAAUAAAUGUAAACCACUUAUAU